UACGUAGGGGGCUAGCGUUGUCCGGAAUCAUUGGGCGUAAAGAGCGUGUAGGCGGCUCGAUAAGUCCGCUGUGAAAGUCCAGGGCUCAACCCUGGGAUGCCGGUGGAUACUGUCGGGCUCGAGUCCGGAAGAGGCGAGUGGAAUUCCUGGUGUAGCGGUGAAAUGCGUAGAGAUCAGCAGGAACACCCGUGGCGAAGGCGGGUCUCUGGGCCGAUACUGACGCUGAGGAGCGAAAGCGUGGGGAGCGAACAGG
rnacentral:rRNA from 1 species